UGCAUCCCUCGCAUCUUCCGAGCGCGGUUGCCACAGCUACUUGGACGUGACAUACAUCCUAGAUUCGCCCGCGAUGAGCUCGACGCUGCCCGCGUCUCCUUCUGGCUUGCCUGCCG